UAUAUAUAUUUAUUGUUAUUGUUUCUUUCUACAGAGCCUUUCUAGGACCGUUUGUCGGUGGUGCAUUAAAUGAAAAACUGGGAUUUGAGUGGGCCUCUAUUGUCGGAUCUGGUUUUAUGGUUUUUUCCGGUACGUUGUUAUUAAUUCUAACUCUUAUUAAGAAGAAUUUCAUUUUACCAACACAGACUCAACUUGCUGAGGAAACUGUUGAGAAACCUGAAGAGGAAGUUUAAAUUGAAUGAUCUUUUUAAUUUAGACAAAGAA